rnacentral:rRNA from 1 species
AUAUCAAUAAGCGGAGGAAAAGAAACCAACAGGGAUUACCUCAGUAACGGCGAGUGAAGCGGUAACAGCUCAAAUUUGAAAUCUGGCUCUUUCAGGGUCCGAGUUGUAAUUUGUAGAAGAUGCUUCGGGUGUGGCUCCGGUCUAAGUUCCUUGGAACAGGACGUCAUAGAGGGUGAGAAUCCCGUAUGUGACUGGCUGCCUCCGCCCAUGUGAAGCUCUUUCGACGAGUCGAGUUGUUUGGGAAUGCAGCUCAAAAUGGGUGGUAAAUUUCAUCUAAAGCUAAAUAUUGGCCAGAGACCGAUAGCGCACAAGUAGAGUGAUCGAAAGAUGAAAAGCACUUUGGAAAGAGAGUUAAACAGUACGUGAAAUUGUUGAAAGGGAAGCGCUUGCAAUCAGACUUGCGCGCUGCCGAUCAUCCGGGGUUCUCUCCGGUGCACUCGGUAGUGCUCAGGCCAGCAUCGGUUUAGGUGGUUGGAUAAAGGCCUUGGGAAUGUAGCUUCUCUCGGGGAGUGUUAUAGCCCUCGGUGCAAUGCAGCCUACCUGGACCGAGGACCGCGCUUCGGCUAGGAUGCUGGCGUAAUGGUUGUAAGCGA